UUAAUUAAAAGUUUUCUUUAUUAUUCCUCACUCUGAUAGGAGACACAAUCCGAAGCUGGUGCACAAGCUGAUGGUGACCCUGAACUUUUGGAUGACUCUUGAGUUUUACCAGCAGUUAUUGAAAGAAUUUUUUGGGACAAUUGACCCAGCAUCUUGUGGUAAAACUAUUAGGGCAUCGCAUACGUAAUACAUGAUUGCAUUUGAAUGUGAUACGGUUUAUCCAAAUCUAUAAGCGUUCCAGUAAAUCAAAACACAAUCAGAUUGCAUUUAAAAAUUGUGGCCUUUGAAUUUGUUUAAGAUUUUAUAUUCCCAAGUGAUGCCGGAUAUCCUUGUUCAUUUUCUGUUUUGGAUCUGUAUCUGCAGCUAUUGUCUUCGUUACAGUGGGCUUGGAACCUAGUCAAUCCUGAACUUCUAUUAUUCAAGUUUUUGUAACUUUAAAAAUGGAACGCGCUAUCGUAGUUAUUCGUGCUAACAAUUAAGACCUAUAUUGUCAGCAUAUUGUUAUUGAUUCUGAUUUUGCACUAUUUGAUUAUCCUCAAAGACAGCCUUUUAUUCUUUGAAAAAGUGGCAUACGAAGAAGAGGAAGAUUGUUGACAGAAGAGCCUCUAAGAGUCGCAAGAUAUGGUACAAUGUUCACGAGAAGAUAGUAAAUUUCAUGGCCCCCCAGAGACUAGGGCCGUUCCUCCGAUGCUUCCUGACCUCAAUAAUUUGUUCGGGUUGAAGCAAAAACCAGCUUCCGUGGUGUAGGUAAGGCUAAUAUUUGUUGUACUGAUAUUUAUGUAAUUUACACAAUUUUGUUGCAAAUGACAAUUCAGAUCUGUACUUUGACACAUAAGCAAAGCGGAUGUUCUUGCUUUCCCCCGUGCCGAAAUCUUGUGUUUGAAGGCAGAAAACAUCUUGAGGACAAGGUGAUAAUGCAGAGAUGUCUAUAUCUAGUAAAAUAAAAAACUCGUGGAGGGCUUUUGGACUACUGUCGCUUCUUUUUUCGAGAGAUGGAGGGCGGAACGAUUAGAGUUAGCGUGAGAAGGAAGAUGGCAGCAGUGACUAGCCCCCUCCAUCCUCUCAGAUGGCAGUUAUUGCCUCUGGCACUCGCUGCUGCAAUUUUGUGAUCAAGAUCGUUCUGUUGCUCUUCUUCUUUGUCUGAAAAACAUACAAAUAGCAGAAAAUUUAGAGAAAACUUAAAUGAAAUGAAUACGAGCGGACCCC